rnacentral:rRNA from 1 species
CUCGUAGGCGGUUUGUCGCGUCUGCCGUGAAAUCCUCCGGCUUAACUGGAGGCCUGCGGUGGGUACGGACAGACUAGAGUGUGGUAGGGGAGACUGGAAUUCCUGGUGUAGCGGUGGAAUGCGCAGAUAUCAGGAGGAACACCGGUGGCGAAGGCGGGUCUCUGGGCCACUACUGACGCUGAGGAGCGAAAGCAUGGGGAGCGAACA